rnacentral:rRNA from 1 species
UACGUAGGGGGCUAGCGUUGUCCGGAAUCAUUGGGCGUAAAGAGCGUGUAGGCGGCCUGGUAAGUCCGCUGUGAAAGUCGGGGGCUCAACCCUCGAAUGCCGGUGGAUACUGUCGGGCUAGAGUGCGGAAGAGGCGAGUGGAAUUCCUGGUGUAGCGGUGAAAUGCGCAGAUAUCAGGAGGAACACCGAUUGCGAAGGCAGCUCGCUGGGACGUAACUGACGCUGAGACGCGAAAGCGUGGGGAGCAAACAGG